rnacentral:misc_RNA from 1 species
CAAAUUUACAAUUUUCUCAACACUUGCAUCAAUAAAAAAAAAAAUUGAAGUUUUAGCAAGGAUGUAGUAAUUUCGAAAAUAUUAAACCCAAAUUUAAAAAAAUUGUACUAUGCUAACUAUUUUUAUGGUACUAAUUUAUUUUAAUCAAUAGGAAGAUAUAAACAUAAGAUGUAUCCUAUCCCAACCCCAUGAAAAAAUUGUAAAGAUCAAACUUCCUUUAGAAUUUACCUGAAAACAGCUCCUUUUUGGACCCUUCUGCAGUUCAGCCUAAACUUGUUCUCCCUAUAGUGCAAUGUUUUAUAUUGAGAAAAAUUUUGAAUGACUCUCAACCUCAGUGUUCCACAUGUGUUGAAAUAGCAUUUUCUUUCGAUGUGACUCUUUCGUUACUGUGAUGCCUAAAAAUUUGUAGUUAGUGAUUCUUAGAAACUUUUGUUGCUAUGACUCAAUCCCCAAUUUCUCAAUUCAAAAGCGCUAAAUAGCUUGUUCUUUCAGUGUCUGUUAUCUUUCUAUUAUUAAUUAUCCAUUGUUUUAAGGUUUUAUAUAGUUUCACUGCACAUACAGAUAUCCUAGCCAGGUCCACUGAAACCAGCCCUUCCCAAUCUAAAUAUAGAUUGUCUGUCAUGUCUGAAGCCAGUCCCACUACAUGUACAUCAAUCUUGGGCAUCUACUUUCUCUUUGUUCUUCCUUCCAGCCUGCCAUUUGAGAAGUAUUUCUCAGUCCUGUUCUUUUGUGGAAAGCAAAUUCAAUGUAGAAAAAAUUUUGUGGAAAACAUUUUGGGACAACAAAUUAUUUUCACGUAUUUGGUUAUAACACUAAAAUCAUUAGAAAUUAUUUUCCAUCCUUUUGGAAUAUGGUGGGAAAAAAAACAUAUAGUUAGUGCUUAUGCCCCA